GAUGAAGAACGUAGCGAAAUGCGAUACGUAAUGUGAAUUGCAGAAUUCAGUGAAUCAUCGAGUCUUUGAACGCACAUUGCGCCCUCUGGUAUUCCGGAGGGCAUGCCUGUCCGAGCGUCAUUGCUGCCCUCAAGCACGGCUUGUGUGUUGGGCCCCGCCCCCCGAUCCCGGGGGGCGGGCCCGAAAGGCAGCGGCGGCACCGCGUCCGGUCCUCGAGCGUAUGGGGCUUUGUCACCCGCUCUGUAGGCCCGGCCGGCGCCUGCCGAUCAACCAAACUUUUUUCCAGGUUGACCUCGGAUCAGGUAGGGAUACCCGCUGAACUUAAGCAUAUCAAUAAGCGGAGGA
rnacentral:misc_RNA from 1 species